rnacentral:rRNA from 1 species
GCUAAGUUGGGGCGGGGAGCGGCGGGAAUGCAGAGGCUGCGAGCGUUAAGCGGAGUGACUGGGCGUAAAGCGUGCGUAGGCGGCUGAGUAAGUCGGAUGUGAAAUCCCUGAGCGUAACGUAUGAAUUGCAUUCGAUACUGGUCAGCUAGAGUAUGGGAGAGGAUGGUAGAAUUCCAGGUGUAGCGGUGAAAUGCGUAGAGAUCUGGAGGAAUACCGAUGGCGAAGGCAGCCAUCUGGCCUAAUACUGACGCUGAGGUACGAAAGCAUGGGGAGCAAACAGGAUUAGAUACCCUUGUAGUC